CCAUUUUGCAUUACAGUAAAGGAAAUUUGAGGUACAGUAUGCUUAUUUUCUCAAUUAAAAUAUUUUAUGUAAAAUAUGAUUUUUCAUUUUUGCAUUAAAGAAAAUAAGAUAUUGACUUAAAUAGGCUUCAUUGACUUUAUGCAAAAUAUGAUUUAUUUUCCUUUUCCUUUGGUUAUGGGGUACAUUAUGACACAAACACGUCCUUGAUAGGUUUUGGCUAUUAAAGUAUCACCGGUAUUGUAUGUGCUACUGCAACUUUCCGUUUCAACAAGAAAUGCGUGAACAGAAAACAACCGCUUGUUGAGCCAUUUCAUGGGGUCUUUAAUUCAACUGAUGGAUAACCCAUAAUGCACAUUCAGUUAAAGGUUUUUACUGAGAAACUGUUGAAACAAGAGCAUCCACUCGUAGCACAUUACAGUCACUCUUGAAGCCUUAAAACCGCACCGAAGAGUGAACCGCUGUUAAAAUGCACUCAAACUGUUCGCGUUCCAGCCCACACACUGUGAGAUCCAUUUGAAUUUGAUUUCUUCUGUGUCUUUUUCUCUCUUUGGUUUGAUUUUCAUGCAUUGUUUCAUACUCACUAUCCAGGGAAGGGUGUUGUGUCUUUUUCUCUUGCAUUUUGUGAAUCUAAUGAUGCACUUAUGUUGCCCCACUUUUCCCUUCUCUUCAUACCUUACCUACUAAAGGAGGGAAUACCACUUUAUUGAAGCUUCGAUCUCUGGCUCCGUCUCCCUCGAGCACGCAGACGCACGCGUCGCCUCAUCUAAGAGUUGCUAAACACCACGCCGACCGUCCCAAGAGCCCUGGAGGACCAGCAGCGCAGACGGGACAGGACGGCUGCGCAGACGACAGGCCGGCGAUGGGCAAACCGCUCUCAGAGUCAUCGGGGAGAUGCGUCGGGAGGCCGAGGGUUCGAGAGAAGGCGUCGCACUCACCGGCGCACAGCAGCGACACUGAGCCACACACCAAACCCAAGAAUCAGAAGAAAACGAAAGCAUCUCAUUCGUCUAAGCGGCACCAUCGCGGACGCGCUCAGAAGCGCCACCGGAGUUCCUCUGUGUCACCGGGUCGGCACAAACACACGUCCAAGAAGAAGAAGAGCAAGAGUCACGGGACGGCCCGGCAGAGGAGCAGCUCCUGGAGCAGCGGGAGGUCAUCGUCACGAGCUCAUUCUAGAGAACGCGGAUCCAGCAAGAACAAAUCACCGCACUGUCAUGUCCGACAGAACAACUCCAGGGAGAGAGACAGUCCUCAUCAUUCGGAUGCAGAACGAGCCCGCCGCCGCUCGCGCAGCUAUUCUCCCAUCCGCAAGAGACGGAGAGACUCUCCCAGCUUUAUGGAAGCUCGCAGGAUCACCAGGUAAAGACAUCUCACACCGCCUCAGGAGUCUGUAGGUGUUUCUCCUUCUGUUUUUGUUUGGGAAUGCAUGGCCAUUUCUUCAUUUACAGGCUGUUUUCAGGUGUCAUAACUGCACUAUCUAGAGGCAAAUGUUUCUUUUUUCAAGCAUAUUUCA
rnacentral:lncRNA from 1 species